UUGGAGGGCAAGUCUGGUGCCAGCAGCCGCGGUAAUUCCAGCUCCAAUAGCGUAUAUUAAACUUGUUGCAGUUAAAAAGCUCGUAGUUGAACUUCAGCCAUUGGUGUCAUCGCGCGUGUCACYUUGAGUCCGUUGGCUUAUCUUUUUACUUUGAGAAAAUUAGAGUGUUUCAAGCAGACUUUUGUCUUGAAUACUUCAGCAUGGAAUAAUAGAGUAGGACCUUGGUUCUAUUUUGUUGGUUUCUGAACCUGGGUAAUGGUUAAUAGGAACGGUUGGGGGCAUUCGUAUUUAACUGUCAGAGGUGAAAUUCUUAGAUUUGUUAAAGACGAACUACUGCGAAAGCAUUUGCCAAGGACGUUUUCAUUAAUCAAGAACGAAAGUUAGGGGAUCGAAGACGAUCAGAUAC
rnacentral:rRNA from 1 species